GUGGGGAAUAUUGCACAAUGGGCGAAAGCCUGAUGCAGCAACGCCGCGUGAGCGAUGAAGGCCUUUGGGUCGUAAAGCUCUGUCCUUGGGGAAGAAACAAAUGACGGUACCCAAGGAGGAAGCCCCGGCUAACUACGUGCCAGCAGCCGCGGUAAUACGUAGGGGGCAAGCGUUAUCCGGAAUUAUUGGGCGUAAAGAGUACGUAGGUGGUCUUUUAAGCGCAGGGUUUAAGGCAAUGGCUUAACCAUUGUUCGCCCUGUGAACUGGAAGACUUGAGUGUAGGAGAGGAAAGUGGAAUUCCUAGUGUAGCGGUGAAAUGCGUAGAUAUUAGGAGGAACAUCAGUGGCGAAGGCGACUUUCUGGACUAUUACUGACACUGAGGUACGAAAGCGUGGGGAGCAAACAGGAUUAGAUACCCUAGUAGUCC
rnacentral:rRNA from 1 species